rnacentral:rRNA from 1 species
AUGGCGACCGGCGCACGGGUGAGUAACACGUAUCCAAUCUGCCGAUGACUCGGGGAUAGCCUUUCGAAAGAAAGAUUAAUACCCGAUGGCAUAGUUCUUCCGCAUGGUGGAACUAUUAAAGAAUUUCGGUCAUCGAUGGGGAUGCGUUCCAUUAGGUUGUUGGCGGGGUAACGGCCCACCAAGCCUUCGAUGGAUAGGGGUUCUGAGAGGAAGGUCCCCCACAUUGGAACUGAGACACGGUCCAAACUCCUACGGGAGGCAGCAUG